AGAUUGAACGCUGGCGGCAUGCCUAACACAUGCAAGUCGAACGGGAGUAGCAAUACUCUAGUGGCGGACGGGUGAGGAAUACGUAGGAAUUUGCCCUUAAGUGGGGGAUAACCCGGGGAAACCCGGAUUAAUACCGCAUGACCUCGAAAGAGCAAAGUGGGGGAUCGCAAGACCUCACGCUCUUGGAGAAGCCUACGUCGGAUUAGCUAGUUGGUGAGGUAAUGGCUCACCAAGGCGACGAUCCGUAACUGGUCUGAGAGGAUGAUCAGUCACACCGGAACUGAGACACGGUCCGGACUCCGUACGGGAGGCAGCAGGUGGGGAAUUAUUGGACAAGU
rnacentral:rRNA from 1 species